rnacentral:rRNA from 1 species
UACGUAGGGUGCAAGCGUUAAUCGGAAUUACUGGGCGUAAAGCGUGCGCAGGCGGUCCGCUAAGACAGAUGUGAAAUCCCCGGGCUUAACCUGGGAACUGCAUUUGUGACUGGCGGGCUAGAGUAUGGCAGAGGGGGGUAGAAUUCCACGUGUAGCAGUGAAAUGCGGAGAGAUGUGGAGGAAUACCGAUGGCGAAGGCAGCCCCCUGGGCCAAUACUGACGCUCAUGCACGAAAGCGUGGGGAGCAAACAGG